AUGAAGAUCGUCGUAUGUAUGUUCGACUUCGGUUGCCGGUGCAAUAGAAUUGGCGGGAGUAUAUUAUGGCAGGAUCAGUCACCUGGGCAAACCAAAACCCUCCUCCAAGAAGAAUUGUGCUAUGCCCCCCCCGAUAUCCCUAUAGAGCGAAAGAGCUGCCUGGUGAUCCCUAGGUUGCAGCACGUCCGGUCGUUAACUCCUCGCUAG
rnacentral:rRNA from 1 species